GCAAAAAUGUGGUCUUUCAUCGUCACGUGCGUAUUGUAUUUUUGCUCCACCAGCCAAUAGCAACGGUUUUGUCCAAUUGCCCAUCCAUCAUUACUUUAACAAUAGGGCAUUUUGAACAUUCUUAUUGGUUGACUUGAGAAAAAUACAAUACGCACGUGACGAUGAAAGACCACAUUUUUGC